AGAGACAGCAGUAGCCGCGGUAAUACGGGGGGGGCAAGUGUUAUUCGGAAUGACUGGGCGUAAAGGGCACGUAGGCGGUGAAAAGGGUGGAAAGUGAAAGUCGCCAAAACACUGGCGGGGUGCUUUCUUGACCAUUUCACUUGAGUGAGAUAGGGGAGAGUGGAAUUUCGUGUGGAGGGAUCAAAUCCUAAGAUAUACGAAGGAACGCCAACCGCGAAGGCAGCUCUCUGGGUCCCCACUGACGCUGGGGUGCGAAAGCAUGGGGAGCAAACAGGAUCAGAUACCCGUGUAGUCCCUGUCUCUUAUACC
rnacentral:rRNA from 1 species